rfam:Triticum aestivum genome assembly, contig: Triticum_aestivum_CS42_TGACv1_scaffold_361155_4DS
AAACUACCCCUCCGUCCUAAAAUUCUUGUCUUACAUUUGUCUAGAUACGGAUAUAUCAAAAUCUAGACAAAUCGAUACAUCCGUAUCUAGAUAAAUCUAAAACAAGAAUUUUGGGAUGGAGGGAGUACAUC